GGUAAGGUGGCUGAGUUGGAGGCGGUAAACUGUAAAUUUAUUCACGGAUAUUUUAUCCCUUUAUCA
rnacentral:tRNA from 1 species